UACGUAGGGUGCAAGCGUUUAAUCGGAAUACUGGGCGUAAAGCGUGCGCAGGCGGUUCGUUAAGACAGAUGUGAAAUCCCCGGGCUUAACCUGGGAACUGCAUUUGUGACUGGCGGACUGGAGUAUGGCAGAGGGGGGUAGAAUUCCACGUGUAGCAGUGAAAUGCGUAGAGAUGUGGAGGAAUACCGAUGGCGAAGGCAGCCCCCUGGGCCAAUACUGACGCUCAUGCACGAAAGGCGUGGGGAGCAAACGAGG
rnacentral:rRNA from 1 species